CAAAAUGAACAGUAACAGAGUGACAAGGAACGAAACAUAAAAUACGAUCCUCCUCAAGAGACUCAAAUGAGUAACAGGUUCCAUAGCAUCUUCAAAACCAUUCCUACAAGCUCAAGCUUUCUUCGUAAUCACUGCUUCAUUUCUCUUCCUCCCCAUUUCACUCCAAGGGUUUGGAUUUGCAGUGGUGGGUUCAGAGAUCGUAUGGAAAUGGAGGGAAAUGGUGUUUCCGAGGCUUCUUCUUCUGAGGUGGCGGUGGUGGUGGGUGAUGGUGAGCUUUUGGAUAAGAAAAUCUCUUUAAUUCGUAAGGCGGGUCCGGUAAAACUCCAGGUAAUUGCAGAUUUUGAUGCCACUCUAACAAGGUACUGGGUCAAUGGCUGUAGGGGACAAAGCAGUCAUGGUCUUUUACGACAGGGAAAUCCAGAAUAUGAUAUCAAAAGGCGGGAAUUAUAUGAAUAUUAUCAUCCAUUAGAAUUCUCACCAACAAUUCCGAUUGAGGAGAAAACCAAACUCAUGGAAGAGUGGUGGGGAAAGACACAUGGUCUUCUGAUUGAGGGAGGCCUCACAUAUGAGGCCAUAGAGCAUUCUGUUGCUACUUCCACAAUUGCUUUUAGGGAGGGUGUUGUUGAACUAUUUGAAUUUUUGGAGAAAAGGGACAUUCCCAUUCUUAUUUUUUCUGCUGGACUUGCAGAUAUCAUAGAGGAGGUCCUGAGACAGAAGCUUCACAGAUCUUUCAAAAAUGUGAAAAUUGUAUCAAACCGCAUGGUAUUUGAUGAAAAGGGUGUCCUGGUAUCUUUUAAAGGCAAAACGAUUCAUAGUCUAAAUAAAAAUGAACAUGCCCUUGAUAUGGCUGCUCCUCUUCAUGAUCGAUUGGGUUAUAGAGAUCAGCCAACUGAUGACAAUGCCUCAGUAAAAUUAAGAACCAAUGUGCUACUUCUGGGUGACCACAUUGGUGACUUGGGAAUGUCUGAUGGUUUGAACUACGAGACUAGAAUUUCUGUUGGAUUUCUUGGGUAUAGGGUUCAAACAGGGAAACUAAUGGCUCAACUUGGGGAAUGAUGUAAAGAACACCAAUGAAUCAGUACCAGGUACCAAGGGAAUGGUGUUAGGAAACCUUUGAUCUUGCUUGUUGCCAUGAUUCACAUCUGAAAGUGUGCAAAGGUUUCUCUCUUUUAACGUCUUGUUAUGAGAAGCACAUGUUUUGUUAGCUCUGCCUGGUAUGUAGUUUCUGUAAUUUCUAGAAAUUGUGUCUCCUUUCAAAUGGAGAAAAGCUUGGUUUAUAAAUUGCUUUAGUUGCUGAAUUUUAUAAACUGGUGUUUCAGGAACGACAAUAUUGAAAGUUCUCUUGAUAGCUAUCGCAAAGCCUUUGAUAUUGUUUACCUGCAUCCAAGGCAUCAAAGAUAAUGUAAGAUCUAGGCCGACAGAAUUCUCAUUCAUAUAGAGAUUUGGGACAGAGCAUACAAUUUGGAAAAGAUUAUUUCCCUGAUAAUGAUAAUACUUUCAUUGUCAACUUGGAAUGAAGAAAACGAAAACAAGAAAAGGAAUGAUGCACCUAUGUCUGGAGUAGUCAAGCUUGUUUCUGAGCUCUGUUCGAAUGGCGGUGAUUAAGUUUUCAAGCCUUUAUGUUAUCCUAAAAUGAAUAGCUUAUCGUUUCUUUUUUUAACUGAUCAUGAUCAAAUUGCAAGAGGAAGGCCUCUGCAUUUGUUCACACCUGGAAUGGUGAAUGAUUGGUUGAUUAUUAUAUCUUCAUCAAUUUUUAUUUAUUUAUUUUUCAUAUCCAA